GUGCCUCUGUCCCCAGGAGACCCUCGCAGUCCUCACUGUCAUAGCCACUGCCUGGGAGAGAAGCAGAGGGGUCCUGAUGACUUGAUGCCUGUUCAGUGAAAACGACUCCUUGGACCUGUCACACCCCACAAGCCAUGACCCAGCCCUGGUGGCGGCCAUGAACCUGCCGCCCCCUCCUCCAGCCCCCGAGUGACCAUGACCGGGGCUCCUGGCAGUGGCCACUCACGCCAGCAACUUGCCUGCCUCCUGGGACGCAGCCACGGAGGGCUGGGCUGGGCACCUGGGUGUCUCCCGGCUGCCGUGGCCCUUGGGCUGUGGGUGCCGUGUGGCCCCAGACACCUUGGUACUCUUGGCUCGGGACAGCUUCUCCCGGAUGCGCCCCCCAGGGGUAGCCUCCUUCUGCUGGAAAGAGCUGAGGCCUGUGGGCAGCCCUUUGCUCUUGACCUUGGGUUUCAGCUGGGCCACCCUGUGGGCCACGGAGGGCGCCAGCCCGCCCUGACAGCUGCUCUUCUUACACUGCGCCUUCUCCUGUGAACAGGGAGGGGCAGCUGCACUCUCAGGGCGCCCUCUGCAAACCACAGCCCCUGGGCGGUUAGGUGCCUCUCUGUUGAUGCCCGGCUCAGAACUGGUACCUCCAGGCCCCUGCCCUCGAUCCACAGGGGCUGAAGGGAUGUCUGGCCCAGAGACACAGGGCCUGCCCCUGGAGCCUACGCUGCGGCCUUUCCCACACACCCCACUGCCCACCAACUGCCCACCCCACGUAGGGGACAUGGAGGAGGCUGAGGGCCCAGUGGCUGUGGGUUGUGGGGCCAGGCUGUUAGCUUUUCUAAAGGGAGGGAUAAAACAGCAUCUGGGCAGAAGGAUCAGCCCCCUGGGCAGACAGGUGAAGUAUGCUGGGGCCCACGUCUCACCAGCCCCGCCGAGGCCACGGAGAGAGGAGGGGCAGGAGGCACCUGUUGUGCCAAGAAAGAAGGGGUGUCGGCAGCCGAGAGAGCCCCCACCACGCCAAGAAGAAACAGGGUGCCAGCAGCGUGGGGAGCUCCCCCACACCAAGAAGAAAGGGGGUGCCGGCAGCCGGAGGAGCCCCUGCCACACCAAGUGUGCCCUGGGCCACCUGAAGAAAGGCAGGGCCUCGCUCCAGGGAGUCUCUGUGAGCAGAGUGUAGCCUGGGCAUUUGCUUUCCUGCUGGAGUGAGACGAGGAGGGUGGAGUGACGUGGGCAAGUGGCGGCAGGGCCACCCGGUCAGACCUUCCUGCGUUACACUGCAGGGUCACGCUCCUCCUCCUGCUGUCGGCACUCGGAGCUCCCCAGCCUUGGUUCGCUCAUCUGAGCAAUGGGUUUUGGCACAGGGCUGGGGAGAGUCUGCUACCUGCCAGGAAGGGACCCGAAGGGCCCUGGGGCAAGGCGGGCGCCUCGGCACUCACCACGGAGGCGGUCUGCAGGCCCGCGUAGACGCUCCUCUCCAGCUUGCUUCGCUUCUUCGCAGGCUCGCCCCCACCGCCUCCUCGCAGCUCCGCGCACAGCAGACCCAGGCUUGUCCGCACCGCCCUGGGGGCAUGGGGUGGUGGGUGCAGGGCAGAUGCAGGCCCGGCCGCCCCAGCCUUGUCCCCCUACUGUCUCUGUAGUGGGUCACACUCCUCCAAGGGCCCCACGUCUCGGGCAGACAGAGCGGGGGGUGAGGGGCCCCGGGGGCCGAGCCAGCUCUGACCUCCCCUGAGCACCUGCCUGCAGCCAGCCCCUCUGCCUGCCAACCACUGGCCCUCAGCAGCCCCUAUAUCCUCAAAUCCGCCCCAUCCCCCACUUGGCUAUACUGGAAGUGGGCACGCUUCUGUUACCCAAAUCCCAUCCUUCCAGCCUGAUAGGAAGGAACGCCCUGGCAGUGCUGUCUGGUCCUAGCCACAGUGACCCAGAGGCCAGGUGUCGGGGGCUGGGGCCGGUGAGGGCUCUGAGGGACCGCCCAGUGCUCAGGAGCCAGGGCUCUGCUGCUACUGGGGCCUGAGUGGGGCUGCAGCCCCAGCCUUGGCACCUGGAACAAGGGACAGCCACACAUGUGCCUGUCUGAGUCUGGGGCAGGGCUUAUGCAGGCCGGGCCCGGCCCUUGGCGGGUGUUCAGGGCGUGAUGCUACCACCCUUAGGAGUGGGGCAGGCACCAGGCAGGUUUGUGAGAACUGCAUCCACAUUUCUGCCACAGCUGGAAGAGGACGCGCCAACCGGAGUCCCACCAGGGGCGGGGGUCUUAAGGAUGGAAUUCUGCAUCCCUGGCCCCUCCCAGAUGGAGCCCUGGACACUGCGGAGGCUGAGCCUCAGCAUUCCCCAUGCCCCAGAGCUGUGCUGUCCCCUAGGCUGGGAGCUGGGGCAGAAGUCAACUCCAGCCUACAUGGGCCCAGCAGCUACCUCCAGAUGCCCCAAAACAGGUGCAAAGGGAUACCCAGCUGCUCAUGAAAAUGAAUCCCAGAUGGAGACAAAGAGCCCUGCCUGGCCCUGGCGUGGCCGGAUGUCCCUUUCCACCUUCCUGCUCACAGAGGAGGCUGGGCUUCUGAGGCCUGAGGGGCCAGGCAGGAAGCCAUGGGCCACAAGGCACCCCUGGGCCCCCGCUCCCCGACUUCCUGCAUGGUAGAAGGCCCGUCCCGGGGCCAACUGCCUCUGCCACCACUGCCUGGAUGAGUGAGGGCAGGAGGUGGAAGGGUGAGGUGGGGCCCUGACCCUCGGGAAGAGGGGUCCUGGACUCAGUUUCCCUCCCUGUCCUGAGGCUGCUGCCUUCUAGCCAGAUCCUGGCUUCCAGGGGCCCUGUCCUGCCCAGCAGUUCCCACAGUGCUGGCUGGUUCUCAAAGGGAGACCCAGGAGACCUCCCCAGGAGACACCUGGGCAGGGCAGGGGCAGCUCUGGGGGGGGCAGCCAUAUGGUGACCCCUCCACUGCCCACAGCCACACAGGCCCUCCCCGUAACCUUCUCUGCAUUUGCUAAUGUUUUGUGACAUAAAGCCCUGAGAUUAA